rnacentral:lncRNA from 1 species
UGGCUCCGCCGCGCCCACCAGAGCACCGCCCCCGCCCCGCCCCGCCCCGCCUGCUCCGAGCCCCGACCCGGCCCGCGGCGAGCGUCAGGGGAAGGAAUCCCCCGGCACCUGGGCCCUGCACCGACACUCGCGGCUGCGGCAGAGGGCUUCUCCCCGGCGGGGAGCGCGCCCCUCUCUGGGCAGAGUGGGGGAAUCCCGGGGCCGGCGCCUCCCUGGCGGAGCUGGGGGAGGGGAACCACCUGGAGCCUGGAGGGCGUGCGAGGGCGAGGUGAGCGGACCUGCGCAGGAGGACUGACGUUGGAGGGUGAGAAGGGUAAGAAGAGUGCCUACUCACCAGGCCCAAGGGGAGGAUUACAUGGGAUGAAGUGUGCAAAUUUCCUGCAGUGGUACCUAGUGCUGGUAAGCAACUGAUCCACAUAACUCUUACUAUUCAGACUUGUUCACUUGCUUUUGGUGCAUAGUUCCU